UCCACACUUGAACCAUAGGAUCAUCACUCAGCCCUUGGUGGACAGAAAAGCUUUAGCCUAGUUAAUAAAUUCCAGCCCCCCGGAAGAACUCCGGGGACCGCAAGCAGACCUACAACAUCCUGAGCACGCUGGGGCUGCGGCCCUCGGCCGCCGACUGCGACAUCGUGCGGCGCGCCUGCGAGAGCGUGUCCACGCGCGCCGCGCACAUGUGCUCGGCCGGGCUGGCGGGCGUCAUCAACCGCAUGCGCGAGAGCCGCGGCAUGGACGUGAUGCGCAUCACGGUGGGCGUGGACGGCUCGGUGUACAAGCUGCACCCCAGCUUCAAGGAGCGGUUCCACGCCAGCGUGCGCAGGCUGACGCCCAGCUGCGAGAUCACCUUCAUCGAGUCGGAGGAAGGCAGCGGCCGGGGUGCCGCGCUGGUCUCGGCCGUGGCCUGCAAGAAGGCCUGCAUGCUGGCCCAGUGAGAGCGGCGGCGGCGCGCGCGGGGCGGACCCGGCUCCACGGGGACGGCGCUCCCCACAGGGGCUCCAGCUCAGCCGGCCAAGGGGCCCGGGCUCGAGAGGACCCCAGAUGCUUCCCCACCCACUGUACCCCUGGAAUUGGGGAAGAGCCCUGGGGAUCGGAGCACAAGUCUGUUGGCAGAGUCGGUUGGAGGGACAGCCCCAGGGCACUGGCGGGGUGGGAGCUGGGCAGGACAGGGACAGGGACAGACACUCCCAACGCCGCAGGCCUUUCCUGUGGGAACCCAGCACCCCAAGGGCGCUGGGCACUCAUUUCCACACGGCCUGCCUCCCACGCUGGGCCUGGUUGGGCUCCCCUGGGAACUUACCGCGUGGGAGGGGAUCCAGUUGCUGGGUGGGAGCAGACCGGCCAGCAGGGUGACCCCAGGACUGGCUGAAUUCCUGCCUGUGGCUUCAGAUGCUGGGGGAGCCACACAGGGGGCCGCCCCACCCCCAGUGCCCGAGCACCCGGAGUUCUGGACUGGACCCGCGGGCAGUGGCACCGUCAGCCUCCACAGGCCAGCGCAGGAAGAACCCCUGCAGCAUUGCCACACCCCAGGGCUACCCAGGCCCCUCUCCAGAGCCACCCACCCUCUCCAUGCCCACCCUGGGACUGUGGGGUUUUUAAUUAAAAAUGCAAAAGAUGUGACCGUGGUCUGGCCACCGAUCUUUGUGCACAAGGGCCUGGGGACAGCGUGUGAAGAGACACUGCGCACCCUCGGACGCGCUGGCCGGCCCUGUGUGUCCCUCUGAGGCGUGUGAAGAGCGGCAGGCCAGCCGUCCCCCGCGUGGGCUCAGAGGUGCCGGCGGCCCUGCGGGCAGGAGGGGGAGCACCCGGCCAGGCGCUGCUCUGCUCAGCGGGGUCUGGCCCCUCAGAGCACUGAGGGGGGCUGGGAUCCAAAUCGUCACAAUUUCCAAGUCCCCGCGGAGGCUGCUGUGAGACACCAGGCACUGUCUUUUUUUUUUUUUUUUAAAUGAUUUAUUUAAUUUAAAAGGCAGAGUUAGAGAGAGAUCUUCCAUCCACUGAUUCACCCUCCAGAUGGCCACAAUGGCUGGGGCUGGGCCAGGUCAAAGCCAGGAACCAGGAACUUCUUCCGGGUCUCCCACAUGGGUGGCGGGGGCCUAAGCACUUGGGCCAUGCUCCACUGCCUUCCCAGGCGCUUUAGGGAAUUGGAUUGGAAGAGGAGCAGCCAGGACUCGAGCCAGCGCCCAUGAGGCGCUGGCAUCGCAGGCAGAGGCUUUACCCACUGCACCAGAGCGUGGGCCCCCCAAUGGCCAUCUCUAUGUUACGUUUUCCUCGUCCUGUUUUCUGGUAUUUCUCAUGUGGAAUUACUUGGAUUAUCUUCCUUCUUGGAGUCUCAGUCAUUUAAGUUGGUGCAAACAUCCGGUUAGCUCAUC
rnacentral:lncRNA from 1 species